rnacentral:rRNA from 1 species
UUGAACGCUGGCGGUAUGCUUAACACAUGCAAGUCGAACGGAAACGAUACUAGCUUGCUAGUAGGCGUCGAGUGGCGGACGGGUGAGUAACGCGUAGGAAUCUGCCUGAUAGUGGGGGAUAGCCCGAAGAAAUUCGGAUUAAUACCGCAUAAUCUAUUCGUAGUAAAGUGGGGGACUUUCGAGCCUCACGCUAUCAGAUGAGCCUGCGUAAGAUUAGCUUGUUGGUAGGGUAAAAGCCUACCAAGGCGACGAUCUUUAGCUGGUCUGAGAGGAUGAUCAGCCACAUCGGGACUGAGACACGGCCCGAACUCCUACGGGAGGCAGCAGUGGGGAAUAUUGGACAAUGGGGGCAACCCUGAUCCAGCAAUACCGCGUGUGUGAAGAAGGCCUGAGGGUUGUAAAGCACUUUCAAUUGUGAAGAAAAGUUAGCGGUUAAUAACCGUUAGCCUUGACGUUAACUUUAGAAGAAGCACCGGCUAACUCCGUGCCAGCAGCCGCGGUAAUACGGAGGGUGCAAGCGUUAAUCGGAAUUACUGGGCGUAAAGCGUGCGUAGGCGGUUUAUUAAGUCAGAUGUGAAAGCCCCGGGCUUAACCUGGGAACUGCAUUUGAAACUGGUCAACUAGAGUAUGGUAGAGGAAAGUGGAAUUUCUGGUGUAGCGGUGAAAUGCGUAGAUAUCAGAAGGAACAUCAAUGGCGAAAGGCAGCUUUCUGGACCAAUACUGACGCUGAGGUACGAAAGCGUGGGUAGCAAACAGGAUUAGAUACCCCUGGUAGUCCACGCCGUAAACGAUGAUAACUAGCCGUUGGAGGGAUUUACCCUUUAGUGGCGAAGCUAACGCGUUAAGUUAUCCGCCUGGGGAGUACGGCCGCAAGGUUAAAACUCAAAGGAAUUGACGGGGACCCGCACAAGCGGUGGAGCAUGUGGUUUAAUUCGAUGCAACGCGAAGAACCUUACCUGGUCUUGACAUCCUGCGAACUUUCUAGAAAUAGAUUGGUGCCUUCGGGAACGCAGUGACAGGUGCUGCAUGGCUGUCGUCAGCUCGUGUCGUGAGAUGUUGGGUUAAGUCCCGUAACGAGCGCAACCCCUAUCCUUAUUUGCCAGCACAUCAUGGUGGGAACUAUAAGGAGACUGCCGGUGAUAAACCGGAGGAAGGCGGGGACGACGUCAAGUCAUCAUGGCCCUUACGACCAGGGCUACACACGUGCUACAAUGGGAAGGACAAAGAGCCGCGAAGCCGCGAGGUGUAGCUAAUCUCAUAAACCUUUUCGUAGUCCGGAUUGGAGUCUGCAACUCGACUCCAUGAAGUCGGAAUCGCUAGUAAUCGUAGAUCAGAAUGCUACGGUGAAUACGUUCCCGGGUCUUGUACACACCGCC